CUGUAAGGAUUAAAUGAAAUAGGGUGUACAGAAGGCUUUGCAAAGUGCCCGAUGUAUAAUAAGCAUUCAGUACAUGGUACUUAUUGUUAUCUGGAAUAGUACUACUGCUAGAUGAAAGGAACCAUUAACCCUGACCUCAGAGAAAACAAACCCUAACGAGAAGGAGUGGGAGGGCCUAAAAUGGUUUCAAAUACAUACUGAAGCCUGUAGGUAGAGGUUUAGAGGUGAGUUUUAAGAGUGUUUGCUACAGAUAAAUGCUGGGAGAUGAGGAAUAGUGCCUACCACAAUGCCUGGCUCAUAAGAGUCUCUCAAUAAUUAUUAGAAAGAUAAAUGGAUGGAUGGAUGGGUGGAUGGAUGGGUCUAUGGAUGGAUGGAUAGAUGGAUGGAUGAAUGGAUGGGUAGGUGGAUGGAUGGAUGGAUGGAUGGAUGGGUGGGUGGAUGGGUGAAUGAACAGAUGCACAGAUGGAUGGGUGGUUAAAUUGAAACAAGAGUUAGUCUAAUGCAAAUCUUGCAAUUCUAAGAGUGUAUAGACUUUCUCCAUGAAGUUCUCUUUGCCCAGAGCUUAACACACCAUCAUAUACAUUAAGGUUUCAGGCUUUGUGAUAACAUGGAAGUUAGUGCCAUUUUUGCAGGACUUUUCAUGGUCCUCCUGGUUGUUUACUGGCCACGGGAUGAGAUUAUAUCAAUCUGGAUCUAUAAUAUCUACCAUCAAGUGGGUAAUUUAUUUUACCUACAAAUUAAGCAUUCUGCCAGGCUCCCAAUCUAGGCUGACAGCAGAGUAUGAGAGUAGCUUUUCCACCCAGACAGUCUCCCACAGGGGGCAGAGGCUAAACUAACACACAUCCCAUGGACAGGGAUUCAAGCAAGAAGAGGAGGUACUAGCCUUAAAAAUAUGUUUUCCUAAGACGGUCUAAAAUGACAACCAGGCAUCCGGAAUGGAGACCACUGAAGCCACAAUUUCCAGUCAGUAUUGCAUGUAAUUGUAGACUUCAAAGUUUUGUUCACUGCAGGGAAAUAUCACUAUAUUCACCAAGCAGUCAUGCGCUCCUUUCACUCAGUGUGGCCUGUCUGGUUCUUAGAACUGCAGACCGAGAAGCCCUUUGACUCCAGAGGCAUACGCUAGAGUCACAUGGCAGAAAUCUUGUACAUUGCAUUAUUUUUCGUUCCUGUUAUAAAGCAUAAUACGCUUGCUCAUAAACUCUGAACGUCUCCACCUACCUCUCCACCCCUCUGCCCCAGUCCCAAUCUCUCCUGUGGUAACACAAUUAACAGUUGGGUCCAUUUCUUUCCAGACUUUUUCUUUGUACACACACAUAUACACACACAUUUCUUUUUAUUUAAAAAAAAAACAAUAUCUAACUGUAUAUGUAUAGU
rnacentral:lncRNA from 1 species